rnacentral:rRNA from 1 species
UGGGGAAUUUUGGACAAUGGGGGCAACCCUGAUCCAGCAAUGCCGCGUGGAGGAUGACGCAUUUCGGUGUGUAAACUCCUUUUAUAAGGGAAGAUAAUGACGGUACCUUAUGAAUAAGCACCGGCUAACUCCGUGCCAGCAGCCGCGGUAAUACGGAGGGUGCAAGCGUUGUCCGGAAUUAUUGGGCGUAAAGAGCUCGUAGGUGGUUCGAUACGUCGGAUGUGAAAAUCAGGGGCUCAACCCCUGACCUGCAUCCGAUACGGUCGAGCUAGAGUUUGGUAGGGGAGACUGGAAUUCCUGGUGUAGCGGUGGAAUGCGCAGAUAUCAGGAGGAACACCGAUGGCGAAGGCAAUCCCCUGGGCCUGCACUGACGCUCAUGCACGAAAGCGUGGGGAGCAAA